rnacentral:rRNA from 1 species
CUUACACAUGCAAGUCGAGCGAAGCGAUUUUAAGGAAGUUUUCGGAUGGAAUUAAAAUUGACUUAGCGGCGGACGGGUGAGUAACGCGUGGGUAACCUGCCUCAUACAGGGGGAUAACAGUUAGAAAUGACUGCUAAUACCGCAUAAGCGCACAGUGCUGCAUGGCACAGUGUGAAAAACUCCGGUGGUAUGAGAUGGACCCGCGUCUGAUUAGGUAGUUGGUGAGGUAAUGGCUCACCAAGCCGACGAUCAGUAGCCGACCUGAGAGGGUGACCGGCCACAUUGGGACUGAGACACGGCCCAAACUCCUACGGGAGGCAGCAGUGGGGAAUAUUGGACAAUGGGGGAAACCCUGAUCCAGCGACGCCGCGUGACUGAAGAAGUAUUUCGGUAUGUAAAGGUCUAUCAGCAGGGAAGAAAAUGACGGUACCUGACUAAGAAGCCCCGGCUAACUACGUGCCAGCAGCCGCGGUAAUACGUAGGGGGCAAGCGUUAUCCGGAUUUACUGGGUGUAAAGGGAGCGUAGACGGUUCUGCAAGUCUGGAGUGAAAGCCCGGGGCUCAACCCCGGGACUGCUUUGGAAACUGUGGGACUAGAGUGCAGGAGAGGUAAGUGGAAUUCCUAGUGUAGCGGUGAAAUGCGUAGAUAUUA